UACGUAGGGGGCAAGCGUUGUCCGGAUUUAUUGGGCGUAAAGCGCGUGUAGGCGGCCAGGUAGGUCCGUUGUGAAAACUCGAGGCUCAACCUCGAGACGUCGACGGAAACCAUCUGGCUAGAGGGUCGGAGGGGAGACUGGAAUUCUCGGUGUAGCAGUGAAAUGCGUAGAUAUCGAGAGGAACACCAGUGGCGAAGGCGAGUCUCUGGACAGUUCCUGACACUGAGGCACGAAGGCCAGGGGAGCAAACGGG
rnacentral:rRNA from 1 species